rnacentral:misc_RNA from 1 species
AACGAUACACAGCAGCAAGACCAGACCUUUCCCUUCACACCACACAGUAACCCCGUGCACUCGCACCCACCAGAUCGGCGCUCUAGCUCUCGUCAUCAUCACUUUCUUCCUCACCAGAAUCUUCGACCAGUCACUCAAUUCCUCUUCCUUCUCAAUCCCUACUUCUGGACAAUACAGAUCCAAGAACGACGUCGUACGCUUCUCCGAUUCCGGUGGGUCCAUCUUUUGGCCACAACGCGGGUAUGGGACCCAUCUUUCACUGAAGAUUUAU